GGGUUGUGAGGUUAAGCGACUAAGCGUACACGGUGGAUGCCCUGGCAGUCAGAGGCGAUGAAGGACGUGCUAAUCUGCGAAAAGCGUCGGUAAGGUGAUAUGAACCGUUAUAGCCGGCGAUGUCCGAAUGGGGAAACCCAGUGUGAUUCGUCACACUAUCGUUAACUGAAUACAUAGGUUAACGAGGCGAACCGGGGGAACUGAAACAUCUAAGUACCCCGAGGAAAAGAAAUCAACCGAGAUUCCCCCAGUAGCGGCGAGCGAACGGGGAGCAGCCCAGAGUCUGAAUCAGCUUGUGUGUUAGUGGAACGGUCUGGAAAGUCCGACGGUACAGGGUGAUAGUCCCGUACACCAAAAUGCACAGGCUGUGAACUCGAAGAGUAGGGCGGGACACGUGGUAUCCUGUCUGAAUAUGGGGGGACCAUCCUCCAAGGCUAAAUACUCCUGACUGACCGAUAGUGAACCAGUACCGUGAGGGAAAGGCGAAAAGAACCCCGGCGAGGGGAGUGAAAAAGAACCUGAAACCGUGUACGUACAAGCAGUGGGAGCACCUUCGGGUGUGACUGCGUACCUUUUGUAUAAUGGGUCAGCGACUUAUAUUCUGUAGCAAGGUUAACCGUAUAGGGGAGCCGCAGGGAAACCGAGUCUUAACUGGGCGUUAAGUUGCAGGGUAUAGACCCGAAACCCGGUGAUCUAGCCAUGGGCAGGUUGAAGGUUGGGUAACACUAACUGGAGGACCGAACCGACUAAUGUUGAAAAAUUAGCGGAUGACUUGUGGCUGGGGGUGAAAGGCCAAUCAAACCGGGAGAUAGCUGGUUCUCCCCGAAAGCUAUUUAGGUAGCGCCUCGUGAACUCAUCUUCGGGGGUAGAGCACUGUUUCGGCUAGGGGGUCAUCCCGACUUACCAACCCGAUGCAAACUACGAAUACCGAAGAAUGUUAUCACGGGAGACACACGGCGGGUGCUAACGUCCGUCGUGAAGAGGGAAACAACCCAGACCGCCAGCUAAGGUCCCAAAGUCAUGGUUAAGUGGGAAACGAUGUGGGAAGGCACAGACAGCCAGGAUGUUGGCUUAGAAGCAGCCAUCAUUUAAAGAAAGCGUAAUAGCUCACUGGUCGAGUCGGCCUGCGCGGAAGAUGUAACGGGGCUAAACCAUGCACCGAAGCUGCGGCAGCGACACUAUGUGUUGUUGGGUAGGGGAGCGUUCUGUAAGCCUGCGAAGGUGACCUGUGAGGGUUGCUGGAGGUAUCAGAAGUGCGAAUGCUGACAUAAGUAACGAUAAAGCGGGUGAAAAGCCCGCUCGCCGGAAGACCAAGGGUUCCUGUCCAACGUUAAUCGGGGCAGGGUGAGUCGACCCCUAAGGCGAGGCCGAAAGGCGUAGUCGAUGGGAAACAGGUUAAUAUUCCUGUACUUGGUGUUACUGCGAAGGGGGGACGGAGAAGGCUAUGUUAGCCGGGCGACGGUUGUCCCGGUUUAAGCAUGUAGGCUGGUUGUCCAGGCAAAUCCGGAUAAUCAAGGCUGAGGUGUGAUGACGAGGCACUACGGUGCUGAAGUAACAAAUGCCCUGCUUCCAGGAAAAGCCUCUAAGCAUCAGGUAACAUUAAAUCGUACCCCAAACCGACACAGGUGGUCAGGUAGAGAAUACCAAGGCGCUUGAGAGAACUCGGGUGAAGGAACUAGGCAAAAUGGUGCCGUAACUUCGGGAGAAGGCACGCUGGUGUGUAGGUGAAGUCCCUGCGGAUGGAGCUGAGACCAGUCGAAGAUACCAGCUGGCUGCAACUGUUUAUUAAAAACACAGCACUGUGCAAACACGAAAGUGGACGUAUACGGUGUGACGCCUGCCCGGUGCCGGAAGGUUAAUUGAUGGGGUUAUCCGUAAGGAGAAGCUCUUGAUCGAAGCCCCGGUAAACGGCGGCCGUAACUAUAACGGUCCUAAGGUAGCGAAAUUCCUUGUCGGGUAAGUUCCGACCUGCACGAAUGGCGUAAUGAUGGCCAGGCUGUCUCCACCCGAGACUCAGUGAAAUUGAACUCGCUGUGAAGAUGCAGUGUACCCGCGGCAAGACGGAAAGACCCCGUGAACCUUUACUAUAGCUUGACACUGAACAUUGAGCCUUGAUGUGUAGGAUAGGUGGGAGGCUUUGAAGCGUGGACGCCAGUCUGCGUGGAGCCAACCUUGAAAUACCACCCUUUAAUGUUUGAUGUUCUAACGUUGGCCCCUUACCGGGGUUGCGGACAGUGUCUGGUGGGUAGUUUGACUGGGGCGGUCUCCUCCCAAAGCGUAACGGAGGAGCACGAAGGUUAGCUAAUCCUGGUCGGACAUCAGGAGGUUAGUGCAAUGGCAUAAGCUAGCUUGACUGCGAGCGUGACGGCGCGAGCAGGUGCGAAAGCAGGUCAUAGUGAUCCGGUGGUUCUGAAUGGAAGGGCCAUCGCUCAACGGAUAAAAGGUACUCCGGGGAUAACAGGCUGAUACCGCCCAAGAGUUCAUAUCGACGGCGGUGUUUGGCACCUCGAUGUCGGCUCAUCACAUCCUGGGGCUGAAGUAGGUCCCAAGGGUAUGGCUGUUCGCCAUUUAAAGUGGUACGCGAGCUGGGUUUAGAACGUCGUGAGACAGUUCGGUCCCUAUCUGCCGUGGGCGCUGGAGAAUUGAGGGGGGCUGCUCCUAGUACGAGAGGACCGGAGUGGACGCAUCACUGGUGUUCGGGUUGUCAUGCCAAUGGCACUGCCCGGUAGCUAAAUGCGGAAGAGAUAAGUGCUGAAAGCAUCUAAGCACGAAACUUGCCCCGAGAUGAGUUCUCCCUGAGACUUUAAGUCUCCUGAAGGAACGUUAAAGACGAUGACGUUGAUAGGCCGGGUGUGUAAGCGCAGCGAUGCGUUGAGCUAACCGGUACUAAUGAACCGUGAGGCUUAACCUUACAACGCCGAAG
rnacentral:rRNA from 1 species